CGCCUCCUGAAUUUUUAUAGAAGGUCAAUCCUGCCCAGUGAAGUAUUUUAACGGCCGCGGUAUCUUGACCGUGCAAAGGUAGCAUAAUCAUUUGUCUCCUAAUUAGAGACUGGAAUGAAAGGAUAAACGAAGGCUCAACUAUAUCAAUGAUAAAGAUAAAAAUUAUUGUUCAGGUGAAGAAACCUGAAUUAGUAAAAAAGACAAGAAGACCCUAUUGAGCUUUAUUUUAACUUUAUUUGAGAACUAUUUUUAACAAUAUGUCAACUAAAAAAAAUUUGGCUGGGGCGGCCAAGGAAUUUAUUUUUCUUCCUUAAAGCUAGACUUAUAAGUCACUAAUAAAGACCCUUAUAAUAAGAUCAUAAAACAAGCUACCAUAGGGAUAACAGGCUAAUCUUUCUUGAGAGUCCAAAUCGACAGAAAGGGUUGGCACCUCGAUGUUGGCUUAGGAUUUCCUAUAGAUGCAGAAGUCUAUAAGGUUGGUUUGUUCAACCUUUAAUAUCCU
rnacentral:rRNA from 1 species